AAGAGACUAAUAGCCAGAUGCGCCAUGGAGACCUUGAGUGGAGCCUAUUGGAACAAAAACAACUGUAGCAGCCUACUGACAGACACCUGAAACACGCAGAGCGAGACCUUCUUCAGGCAACUCCUGGCUGCUCUACUCCCUUGGUGUUUGUGUUUUAUUAAAGACUGAAAAUAACUUUAUCUCAAGGUCCUGAAAGCCUUGCUUCCAGAUUCCUUAGAAACUGACUUUAUCUCUAUCGCCCUCCCUCCACAAACCUAAAGGUGUAUGAUCAGUCACCCCUCACAACCCCAGGGCAGCUCUUUCUGCCCCCGGGUCCCGUCCCCGUGCUUUAGUAAAACCACCUUUUCGCACCAAAGACAUCUCAAGAAUUCUUUCUUAGCCGUUUGCUCAAGAACCCCAUCAGUGGGGAACAAAGAGAACAAAACUGGCUCAAUGUGAUACGGGAGGCUGGUGACAGAGCCUCGGGGACUGUUGUGUGCCUACCGCUCCCGUUGUGUGUGUUUGGAAAUCUCUGUGACGGAAAGCUUGAAGAGAGAACACACAAUUGAAUUUGGCCCUCUCAGCCAAAAAGGAUGAAAGGAAGAAAGAAAAGAAGGGAAGAAAGGGAAAGAGGAGAGAGUGCCUGAGCGCGCACAGGGUGACCCAGAGGACUAGCCUCUCCCGGCAUGCAGAGUCCGCGGGAAUGACACCGCCAGGCAGGAGGGGCCGCGGCCAGGCCAGUAGCAUGACCGACUCUUGCCCCUUCUGCCGCCUUUGUGCAGUCCCCACAUCAGUCAUCCGGGACUGGUUCCUCGCCUCCGGCUGUGUUACUGAGGUGUGUUUCUCAUUGUGAAAUCCAGCUGGAGAAACCCGUCUUCCAGAGACCUGUACACUUUAUGAGCCCCGCACUGGUGGGUGAUGCUCUUUGCCAAGACUUACAGUCAAUUCCAGGGCUCUCGGGGGAAAUCUGAACGCCCUACAAGAGGAGGAAUGUUUGUCCAGUUUCCUUCGGUUGAUCCCGUUCGGAUUCACUAGCCAUCAGCCUAAAAUCAGGGCUGGGAUGUGGAUUCUCAUGGGUUCUCGGAGGGUCACGAACCUGAAAUCACUUCCAUUCCAGAAGCACCCAUCCACAGCAUGACCGAAAAAGCUGAUGGGGACGUGAGUUUGCCUUUCGUCCUCUCUCUUCCUCUCCUUUCCUGCAGGUGCAGGAUGUCUGGAGAAGUGGGAGAUGGGGGCUGGGAAUGUACAGAUAUGGGUGCAGGACAGCCACGGUUUGUCUACACAGGGUGCCAUCACCCUAGAGACCCCUGGGACCCACUGGACUUUAGGAGAGCCUUUUCUUCCCCUCCACGGCCCCAGUACCUCUCCCGUUCUCAAUUUCACUGGGAAACAUAUCCCUGAAAGCACAGACUAACCUGAGAAGAUUCUCUGCUGGUUUACUUUUAUUAUUAACCCUUUUAUGAGAACUUCUAAGAUCUACUCUUUUGGCGACUCUCAAAUGUACAGCACAGUUAUUAUUAACUACCAUCAAUCACCAUGCUGUCUGCCACACCCAGGACCUAGUCAUUUCGUAACUGGAAGUUUGUGCCUUUCAACCCCUUCACUGAUUCCACCCGCCCCCACUCCUCCGUGUCUGCGGGUCUGCUUUUUGUUUUGUGUGGCCGCACACCAAAGAAGUUCUCAGAUACUGGAUGGAGCGGACGUGCGGGCAUGCUUCCACCAGUGAAACAGCUGCAGCAGCAAACUGCACAGAGUCUUUAUUUCAUAUUUUCUUAGAUAUGAGUAUCAAAGGAUAUCAAAGCAUGGGUAGGGAACACAAAGGAUCUUUAGACAUUAACCAGACAUGCACCUGCUGGCUACGUGAAGGGAGUACGUGUAGUUUCAGGGAGUGUCAGGGGGUCACAGUGGAUUUUGUAUCUAAUUGUCCUCUGCGGUGUCACGGGGCUCUGUUCUCAGAGUGCUAUCGCGCUCGACAGCCUUGGGACCAGAACAUCGCUGACGUUUCAGCUCUCACCCCGUUCACCCUCCAGGGCUUACAAUACCCUCUCUAGCAAUGACUCCACAGUUUCAUCGUUGCUGGUGUUUUAGAUCCCACAUCUGGCGAAUAUGAUCAAGGGGAGAGGGGCACACGCAUCUGGACUCCAUCCACAAAAGUCUGACUAAGACAUUUGAGGCUGAUAAUGGUCCUUGCCUGGCGUGGGCGUCGAGAUGACGACUGUGGACCUGGCUCUCGGGGA